GAUUCCAGCACCAGUACGAGCCUGGGCUCACCAUUGGAUGAUUUGGGACAGGAUUUCCCUACUCCGGGGCCAUUUCCAGGCCAUCCUCCGGAAAUGAGAGUUCUGAGCUAAGUAGAGCCGAACGGACGGGACGCCCAGCCACAUGCUGAAGAAGAUGAGGGAACUGAGACUCAAAAACGUUCAAAGAGCUGCCCAGAGUCAUCAGCAGGGAAGUGCAAUUAGCCGGGUGAGAAGCCGGAGUCCACAUCCUAAACCGCUGUGCCCCCUGGCCUUCCAGAACCCACACAGCCUUCCCGCUCCGUGGACUUGAUCUGGAGGUCAACGGGAACAAGCGAAUGGUGAAGACGGACGGGCGAGAAUACUACUCGCGAUUCGGCUCAGUGCUGUCAAAGCGAAAUAUUGGAAACAUCUAAAAUGUUCAGCGUCAGGGCCCGUGUUAAAUAAACAGGUGCAUAGGUGUAA